GAAUGAAGGAGACAUGGUAAUGUGCACAAAAAUUGAUUUGGAUCUCUAGGCAUGCCCUCUCUAAUGCCUUUCGGCUUUGAUUUGGGGGCAUGGUUUUGUUGCAAAACG